CUUCAAGCAGGAUCUUAGAAAUGGCUGCUCUGGAGAGUGCGCACACUCACAAUGCAAGUGUGUGAGAGGAGAGAGUGGGCUGGCCUCGUGAUGUUUCCCACACAGUACACAUUCCCUUCUGUGCACACAGUAUGAAGACCGUUCCCAGAGGGACUUUCCAAUCAGAAUCACAAACUAAUGAACUUUAUGGCUGAGAGGGAAAUUGGAAAAUGCCAGGGCCACUCUAAAAUGAGGUAAGCCACCAAGUUGUUAAGUUCCGAGGCAUCUGAGGCCAAGCACGAGAUCCACAGGCAGACAGCAGUGGGCAGACAUGGUUGCCAUUGCUACUGUCAAGGCAUUAGGGUGUGUGCCCACACCUCCUUUACUCAGCUUGGUGACAAGGCCCUUCACCUAUGGAGCCAGCUCACUCCUGGCUCUAAACAAGAGUCUGCAGCAGUUUCGUGAGGUGCUGCCAGUUCAAUGGCAAGUUUGUUAAGGCUAGACCCUGACCCCAGGACUGACAUUCUGAAGGAUAGGUGUGGGAAUCCUACCCAACCCCGAGCCCUGUCCACAACACUAAAUGAAGGCAUUCUUGCACAAAUCCCUUGACCUGUGUUCACUGCUGCCCCAGUAUCCAGUGAGGUGGACCUGGAAAUGGCUGCUGUGUUUAAAACAUGCAAGUAUUUACUGGCAUGCACAAGGGCCCGUGAAGAUGACAGUGAGGACAAAGCAUGCUGAUGGUGCUGAUGUGAGACACAGCCCAAAGAACCUGUAACUGUACAAUAUGGAGUUAGCCCCCAAACAAGAUGGUCAGAAACAGAACUAUAAGGAAAGACAGUGGAAUCAUUUACUUGGACUGAACUUAAAAUGAAGUUGCCCAACACCUGAAGAAAUGGCCAGAGGAGAUUAUCCACAUCGAUCAAACAUACAUGCAUGGAAUAACACAUCAAAGGCAGGAGAGUCCCCACUCAAAGCUAAUCAUCCUCGGAAGGCAGAGACAUUCCAGAGGAAAGGCAUAAAAGGACCAACAGGAACAGGACUGAGAGGAGAUGCCCCCCUCCAAACUCCAGACUGCAUCACCCAGGGAAAGCUGAAUGGUCCAUAAGGUCUAAGGUCUAUAGGUGGCCCUGACUACUCGUGUCCCAACACGCAUCACCAGCACUCACUCCAGGAAGAGCUUCCUAGCAAGCUCUGUGAGAUGAAAUGAACACCUAACGUCUUACGAGAGGUUGUGAUUCUUCUGCUCAAUAUUCCGCGGCCACUCCAAAGUAAGUCUGAAGCAGCCUGCCUACACAUGGAAACAGCCAAGGGAAAAUUCCCCAUUUCCUUCAACUACCAAUGCUGAGCUCUCUUCAGAGGUCAGGACCAUGCUGCACCCUCACUAGACCUAAAGGCAGAAAUGAUGCUUAGGAAUUCCCCCUUUCACACUACUGGCCAUGAAAGUCAACUUUCAGGCUUAUUUUAAACCACUGGCCUUUCUAGUGCACUCAAAAGUAAGAUUCUUGGUUUUAUGGGGAGUUUUUUGGUUUUGUUUUUGAUUGUUUGUUUGUGUAUGUGUGUGUCAAAAUAUCUAAAAGAAACCA